GUUAAAUCUGAAAUAAGGUAAACCACAAAUAAUUUCCUAAUAUAAGUAUAUCCCAUGCAUUAUUUAGGACAUACUUAUACUAAAACUGUGGUUUAUCUGAAAUUCAAAUUUCACUGAUCAUC
rnacentral:miRNA from 1 species